rnacentral:rRNA from 1 species
GAUGAACGCUAGCUACAGGCUUAACACAUGCCAGUCGCGGGGCAGCAUGGGGGUUGCUUGCAAUCCCCGAUGGCGACCGGCGCACGGGUGAGUAACGCGUAUCCAACCUGCCCUUCACCACGGGAUAACCCGGCGAAAGUCGGACUAAUACCGUAUGUUGUCCAUUGACGGCAUCCGAUUUGGACGAAAGGUUUGGCGGUGAAGGAUGGGGAUGCGUCCGAUUAGCUGGACGGCGGGGUGACGGCCCACCGUGGCGACGAUCGGUAGGGGUUCUGAGAGGAAGGUCCCCCACACUGGAACUGAGACACGGUCCAGACUCCUACGGGAGGCAGCAGUGAGGAAUAUUGGUCAAUGGGCGUAAGCCUGAACCAGCCAAGUAGCGUGCAGGAUGACGGCCCUAUGGGUUGUAAACUGCUUUUAUGCGGGGAUAAAGUGGCCCACGUGUGGGUUUUUGCAGGUACCGCAUGAAUAAGGACCGGCUAAUUCCGUG